UGGGAGAUCGUUCAACGGUAGGACAACGGACUCUGACUCCGUGAAUCCAGGUUCGAAUCCUGGUCUCCCAGCCA
rnacentral:tRNA from 1 species